rnacentral:rRNA from 1 species
GACGUAGGGUGCGAGCGUUGUCCGGAAUUAUUGGGCGUAAAGAGCUCGUAGGCGGCUUGUUGCGUCGGCUGUGAAAACCCGCGGCUCAACCGUGGGCUUGCAGCCGAUACGGGCAGGCUAGAGUUCGGUAGGGGAGACUGGAAUUCCUGGUGUAGCGGUGAAAUGCGCAGAGUAUCAGGAAGAACACCCGUGGCUAAGGCGGCUCUCUAGUACGGUACUGACGCUGAGACGCGAAAGCGUGGGGAGCGAACAGG